AACAGAUCACAUGACACACAAGUCACUGGAGAAAGGAGCACGGGGACAUGAAGAAAUCAAGAUACUGGAAGGAUCACCUGUGUGGAUACUGAAAGAUCUAGAAUUAUGACAGAGACAUAGGAAAGAUGGCUUGAAGGCAUCUCAGAAACCUGCAAGACCACAAGAAUGGGGUCAAAAUUGUAAUGGGUUGCCCCCCAGAGUCAGCCAACCACGAACUCAGAAACCUGCAAGGCCACAAGAAUAGGAUCAAAAUUGUAAUGGGUUGCACCCCAG